rnacentral:rRNA from 1 species
AACGAACGCUGGCGGCAUGCCUAACACAUGCAAGUCGAACGAGACCUUCGGGUCUAGUGGCGCACGGGUGCGUAACGCGUUGGAACCUGCCCUUAGGUUCGGAAUAACUCCCCGAAAUGGGUGCUAAUACCGGUUAAUGUCUUCGGACCAAAGAUUUAUCGCCUUUGGUUGGGCCCGCGUUGGAUUAGCUAGUUGGUAGGGUAAAAGCCUACCAAGGCUACGAUCCAUAGCUGGUCUGAGAGGAUGAUCAGCCACACUGGGACUGAGACACGGCCCAGACUGCUACGGGAGGCAGCAGUGGGGAAUAUUGGAAAAUGGGCGAAAGCCUGAUCCAGCAAUGCGGCGUGAGUGAUGAAGGGCGUAGGGUUGUAAAGCUCUUUUACCCGGGAUGAUAAUGACAGUACCGGGAGAAUAAGCACCGGCUAACUCCGUG